rnacentral:rRNA from 1 species
AGCAGCCGCGGUAAUUCCAGCUCCAAUAGCGUAUAUUAAAGUUGUUGCAGUUAAAAAGCUCGUAGUUGAAUUUCGGGAUUAGUACGUCGGUCGUGCCUUCGGUACGUACUGGUGUUACUGGUUCCUACCUUCUGACGAACCGUCAUGUCAUUAAUUUGGUGUGGCGGGGAAUCAGGACUGUUACUUUGAAAAAAUUAGAGUGUUUAAAGCAGGCUCGCGCUUGAAUACAUUAGCAUGGAAUAAUGAAAUAGGACGUUGACCCUAUUUUGUUGGUUUCUAGGAUUGACGUAAUGAUUAAUAGGGAUAGUUGGGGGCAUUAGUAUUCAAUUGUCAGAGGUGAAAUUCUUGGAUUUAUUGAAGACUAACUACUGCGAAAGCAUUUGCCAAGGAUGUUUUCAUUAAUCAAGAACGAAAGUUAGGGGAUCGAAGACGGUCAGAUACCGUCGUAGUCUUAACCACAAACUAUGCCGACUAGGGAUCGGAUGAUGUUAUUUUUAAUGACUCA